rnacentral:rRNA from 1 species
UACGAAGGGUGCAAACGUUGCUCGGAAUUAUUGGGCGUAAAGCGUGCGCAGGCGGUUGUGCAAGACAGAUGUGAAAUCCCCGGGCUCAACCUGGGAACUGCAUUUGUGACUGCACGGCUGGAGUGCGGCAGAGGGGGAUGGAAUUCCGCGUGUAGCAGUGAAAUGCGUAGAUAUGCGGAGGAACACCGAUGGCGAAGGCAAUCCCCUGGGCCUGCACUGACGCUCAUGCACGAAAGCGUGGGGAGCAAACAGG